rnacentral:rRNA from 1 species
UACGGAGGGUGCAAGCGUUAUCCGGAUUCACUGGGUUUAAAGGGUGCGUAGGUGGGUUGGUAAGUCAGUGGUGAAAUCUCCGGGCUUAACUCGGAAACUGCCGUUGAUACUAUCAAUCUUGAAUGUUGUGGAGGUAAGCGGAAUAUGUCAUGUAGCGGUGAAAUGCUUAGAUAUGACAUAGAACACCGAUAGCGAAGGCAGCUUGCUACACAAUAAUUGACACUGAGGCACGAAAGCGUGGGGAUCAAACAGGAGUUAGAAA